rnacentral:rRNA from 1 species
ACUCCUACGGGAGGCAGCAGUAAGGAAUAUUGGACAAUGGUGGCAACACUGAUCCAGCCAUGCCGCGUGAAGGAUGAAGGUGCUAUGCAUUGUAAACUUCUUUUGUACGGGAAAAAACCCCUGAACGUGCUUCGGGGCUGAUUGUACCGUAAGAAUAAGGGUCGGCUAACUUCGUGCCAGCAGCCGCGGUAAGACGAAGGACCCGAGCGUUAUCCGGAUUCAUUGGGUUUAAAGGGUGCGUAGGCGGACUAAUAAGUCAGUGGUGAAAUCCCCAGGCUCAACUUGGGAACUGCCAUUGAUACUGUUGGUCUUGAAUACAGCUGAUGUGGGCGGAAUAUGACAUGUAGCGGUGAAAUGCUUAGAUAUGUCAUAGAACACCGAUUGCGAAGGCAGCUCACAAAACUGUUAUUGACGCUGAGGCACGAAAGCGUGGGGAUCAAACAGGAUUAGAUACCCUGGUAGUCCACGCCGUAAACGUUGAUUACUCGUUGUUAGCGAUAUACUGUUAGCGACUAAGCGAAAGCGUUAAGUAAUCCACCUGGGGAGUACGAUCGCAAGAUUGAAACUUAAAGGAAUUGACG